UCUGUGGGGCAGCCUAUGGGUCCCUGGGUCCCGGUAGCGGCUCUAUGGGGCAGGCUAUGGGGUCUAUGGGUCCCAGUCCGGGUUCUAUGGGGCAGGCUGUGGGUCCGUAGGUCCCAGUAUCAGAUCUAUGGGUCCCAGUCCGGGCUCUAUGGGGCAGGCUGUGGGUCUCCGGGCCCCGGUAGAGGCUCCAUUGGGCAGGCUGUGGGGUCUGUGGGUCCCGGUCCGGGCUCUAUGGGGCAGGCUGUGGGUCCGUGGGUCCCGGUAUCAGAUCUAUGGGUCCCAGUAGCGGCUCUAUGGGGCAGGCUGUGGGUCUAUGGGGCAGGCUGUGGGUCUGUGGGUCCCAGUCUGGGCUCUAUGGGGCAGGCUAUGGGUCUGUGGCUCCCGGCACCAGAUCUAUGGGGCAGGCUGUGGGUCUGUGGGUCCCGGUAUCAGAUCUGUGGGUCCCGGUAGCAGCUCUAUGGGGCAGGCUGUGGGUCUAUGGGGC
rnacentral:lncRNA from 1 species